rnacentral:rRNA from 1 species
GACGAACGCUGGCGGCGUGCUUAACACAUGCAAGUCGAACGGAAAGGCCCUGCUUUUGUGGGGUGCUCGAGUGGCGAACGGGUGAGUAACACGUGAGUAACCUGCCCUUGACUUUGGGAUAACUUCAGGAAACUGGGGCUAAUACCGGAUAGGAGCUCCUGCUGCAUGGUGGGGGUUGGAAAGUUUCGGCGGUUGGGGAUGGACUCGCGGCUUAUCAGCUUGUUGGUGGGGUAGUGGCUUACCAAGGCUUGGACGGGUAGCCGGCCUGGGAGGGUGACCGGCCACAUUAGGACUGAGAUACGGCCCAGCCUCCUACGGGAGGCAGCAGUGGGGAAUAUUGCACAGUGGGCGGAAGCCUGAUGCAGUCACGCCGCGUGCGGGAUGACGGCCUUCGGGUUGUAAACCGCUUUCGCCUGUGACGAAGCGUGAGUGACGGUAAUGGGUAAAGAAGCACCGGCUAACUACGUG